rnacentral:rRNA from 1 species
UGCUAUACAUGCAGUCGAGCGAUGGAUAAGAGCUUGCUCUUAUGAAGUUAGCGGCGGACGGGUGAGUAACACGUGGGUAACCUGCCCAUAAGACUGGGAUAACUCCGGGAAACCGGGGCUAAUACCGGAUAACAUUUUGAACUGCAUGGUUCGAAAUUGAAAGGCGGCUUCGGCUGUCACUUAUGGAUGGACCCGCGUCGCAUUAGCUAGUUGGUGAGGUAACGGCUCACCAAGGCAACGAUGCGUAGCCGACCUGAGAGGGUGGUCGGCCACACUGGGACUGAAAACCCGGCCCAAACUCCUACGGGAGGCAGCAGUAGGGAAUCUUCCGCAAUGGACGAAAGUCUGACGGACCACCGCCCGCGUGGAGUGAUGAAGGUUUUCGGGUCGAAAAAUUCUGUUUGUUAGGAAAAAAACAAGUGCUAGUUGAAUAAGCUGGCCCCUUUGACGGUACCUAACCAAAAAGCCCCGGUUACUUACGUGCCAGCCGCCCGGGGAAUUACUUAGGGGGGCAGGCUUUAUCCGGAAUUUUUUGGGGCGUAAACCGCGCGCAGGGGUUUUCUUAAGUUCUGAGGUGAAACCCCCCCGGCCCCACCCGGGGGAGGGUCUUGGAAAACUGGGAAAAU